rnacentral:rRNA from 1 species
GCGCCCCGCGCCCGUCCCGCCGCCCCCGCCGAAGUUUGAUCCUGGCUCAGGACGAACGCUGGCGGCGUGCCUAACACAUGCAAGUCGAACGAAGCAUUUAGAACCGAUCCCUUCGGGGUGACGUCCUUUAUGACUUAGUGGCGGACGGGUGAGUAACACGUGAGCAACCUGCCUCUCAGAGUGGAAUAACAGUUGGAAACGGCUGCUAAUACCGCAUAACGUUUUUGUGCCGCAUGACACUAUAACCAAAGAUUUAUCGCUGAGAGAUGGGCUCGCGUCCGAUUAGGUAGAUGGUGGGGUAACGGCCUACCAUGCCGACGAUCGGUAGCCGGACUGAGAGGUUGAUCGGCCACAUUAGGACUGAGACACGGCCCAGACUCCUACGGGAGGCAGCAGUGGGGGAUAUUGCACAAUGGGCGCAAGCCUGAUGCAGCAACGCCGCGUGCGGGAAGACGGCCUUCGGGUUGUAAACCGCUGUCCUUGGGGAAGAAACAAAUGACGGUACCCAAGAAGGAAGCCACGGCUAACUACGUGCCAGCAGCCGCGGUAAUACGUAGGUGGCAAGCGUUGUCCGGAUUUACUGGGCGUAAAGGGAGCGUAGGCGGUUUGGUGUGUCGAAUGUGAAAGCCCGCAACUCAACUGCGGAAUGGCAUUCGAAACUACCAGGCUAGAGUACUGGAGAGGAGAGCGGAAUUCUUGGUGUAGCGGUGAAAUGCGUAGAUAUCAAGAGGAACACCGGUGGCGAAGGCGGCUCUCUGGACAGAUACUGACGCUGAGGCUCUAAAGUUAGGGGAGCAAACAGGAUUAGAUACCCUGGUAGUCCUAACUGUAAACGGUGUACACUUGGUGUGCGAGGAAUUGUCCCUUUGCGCGCCGCAGCUAACGCGUUAAGUGUACCGCCUGGGGAGUACGGUCGCAAGAUUAAAACUCAAAGGAAUUGACGGGGACCCGCACAAGCGGUGGAGCAUGUGGCUUAAUUCGAUGCAACGCGAAGAACCUUACCUGGACUUGACAUGCCAGUGGUAGAACCCUGAAAGGGGGACGAUCCCGCGCAAGCGGGAAGCUGGCACAGGUGCUGCAUGGCUGUCGUCAGCUCGUGCCGUGAGGUGUUGGGUUAAGUCCCGCAACGAGCGCAACCCCUGUGGCUAGUUGCCCUUAUUCAGUUAGGCACUCUAGCCAGACUGCCUGUGAUAAGCAGGAGGAAGGUGGGGAUGACGUCAAGUCAGUAUGGUCCUUAUGUCCAGGGCUGCACACGUGCUACAAUGACCGGUACAGAAGGAAGCAAGGCCGCGAGGCGGAGCUAAUCCCUAAAACCGGUCUCAGUUCGGAUUGGAGUCUGCAACCCGACUCCAUGAAGCUGGAAUCGCUAGUAACGGCGCAUCAGCUACGGCGCCGUGAAUACGUUCCCGGGUCUUGUACACACCGCCCGUCACAUCAUGGGAGCCGAUGGUACCCGAAGUCGUUCUUUACGGACGCCCAAGGUACGAUUGGUGACUGGGAUGAA